CAGGUACAGAGAGAAGCCAGGUGGCGACACCGCGCGGAACCCGAAAGCCGUUCUCAGUUCGGAUCGGAGUCUGCAACCCGACUCCGUGAAGCUGGAUUCGCUAGUAAUCGCGCAUCAGCCAUGGCGCGGUGAAUACGUUCCCGGGCCUUGUACACACCGCCCGUCAAGCCAUGGGAGCCGGGGGUGCUUGAAGUGCGUCGCCGCAAGGCGCGCCCUAGAGCAAAACCGGUGACUGGGGCUAAGUCGUAACAAGGUAGC
rnacentral:rRNA from 1 species